AGUGAACGCUGGCGGUAGGCCUAACACAUGCAAGUCGAACGGCAGCACAGUAAGAGCUUGCUCUUACGGGUGGCGAGUGGCGGACGGGUGAGGAAUACAUCGGAAUCUACUUUUUCGUGGGGGAUAACGUAGGGAAACUUACGCUAAUACCGCAUACGACCUACGGGUGAAAGCAGGGGAUCUUCGGACCUUGCGCGAUUGAAUGAGCCGAUGUCGGAUUAGCUAGUUGGCGGGGUAAAGGCCAACCAAGGCGACGAUCCGUAGCUGGUCUGAGAGGAUGAUCAGCCACACUGGAACUGAGACACGGUCCAGACUCCUACGGGAGGCAGCAGUGGGGAAUAUUGGACAAUGGGCGCAAGCCUGAUCCAGCCAUACCGCGUGGGUGAAGAAGGCCUUCGGGUUGUAAAGCCCUUUUGUUGGGAAAGAAAAGCAGCAGGUUAAUACCCCGCUGUUCUGACGGUACCCAAAGAAUAAGUACCGGCUAACUUCGUG
rnacentral:rRNA from 1 species